UAGGGAAUCUUCCGCAAUGGACGCAAGUCUGACGGAGCAACGCCGCGUGAGUGAAGAAGGAUUUCGGUUCGUAAAACUCUGUUGUUAGAGAAGAACAGCGCAUAGAGUAACUGUUAUGCGUGUGACGGUAUCUAACCAGAAAGCCACGGCUAACUACGUGCCAGCAGCCGCGGUAAUACGUAGGUGGCAAGCGUUGUCCGGAUUUAUUGGGCGUAAAGCGAGCGCAGGCGGUCAAUUAAGUCUGAUGUGAAAGCCCCCGGCUCAACCGGGGAGGGUCAUUGGAAACUGGUUGACUUGAGUGCAGAAGAGGAAAGUGGAAUUCCAUGUGUAGCGGUGAAAUGCGCAGAGAUAUGGAGGAACACCAGUGGCGAAGGCGACUUUCUGGUCUGUAACUGACGCUGAUGUGCGAAAGCGUGGGGAGCGAACAGG
rnacentral:rRNA from 1 species